UGAAAGACAAAUUACCGGUUUUUCGAGCCAAUUAAUUUACCAUUAACUUAAAUUUAAAAAAAUGAAAAGUAACAAAUAAACUUUUGUCAUUUCUGUGUGUGUGUGUGAUUUUCAAGAAGUCAGUUUAAACGGUCGAGGUCAAAUCGAUCAGUUCACUAAUAAAACUUCACUUUAUCAGGGUGAAUCGUUGAACCUUAGGAGUGAACUCAUUAUUACCUUGACUACUUCGAAGAUGUAAUACAUGUAGAAACCAAUCAUAAAUAAUACAAAGAAGUACAUUUUGGGUAAUUCAAAAGCAUCAGCAAAAUAUGACAACAUUUUUAACACUUUUAUAAUAAAUAAUUAAUAAUGAUAACAAUUUUAUCCUAGAUAAAAAAGAAAAACAAUUCACUUUAGCUGAUUCGGUAUUAAAUAUCCGGCAUCUCUACGAUAUCAUGACUUCACCGGGCACGAGUCGUUCACCAACUAAAGCAAAAAAUAACCAACUUAUGAUUGAAUGGUCGAUUAGAACGUGGGAGAGUACAUAGGCCAUGUUUAUAUAAAAUCUCCCGACAUUUAAAAGUUGAAUACGUGUAUACUACUAUUCUCUGUAUGCAGUUUGCAAUUUUUAUUCACCUUUUCCACAAUGAUAAUGACAUUGAAUAUUGAACGUGAACUUUCUCAAAUAACAUCCUGGUGUGUAUAUAAAUAAAUACUUUAUAAGUACGUAAGAUUAUGAGUGAUAAAAU